rnacentral:misc_RNA from 1 species
GAUGAAGAACGUAGCGAAAUGCGAUAAGUAAUGUGAAUUGCAGAAUUCAGUGAAUCAUCGAAUCUUUGAACGCACAUUGCGCCCCCUGGUAUUCCGGGGGGCAUGCCUGUUCGAGCGUCAUUUCACCACUCAAGCCUCGCUUGGUAUUGGGCAACGCGGUCCGCCGCGUGCCUCAAAUCGACCGGCUGGGUCUUCUGUCCCCUAAGCGUUGUGGAAACUAUUCGCUAAAGGGUGUUCGGGAGGCUACGCCGUAAAACAACCCCAUUUCUAAGGUUGACCUCGGAUCAGGUAGGGAUACCCGCUGAACUUAAGCAUAUCAAUCAGCGGAGGA